AUGCAAGUCGAGCGGACCGACGGGAGCUUGCUCCCUUAGGUCAGCGGCGGACGGGUGAGUAACACGUGGGUAACCUGCCUGUAAGACUGGGAUAACUCCGGGAAACCGGGGCUAAUACCGGAUGCUUGAUUGAACCGCAUGGUUCAAUUAUAAAAGGUGGCUUUUAGCUACCACUUACAGAUGGACCCGCGGCGCAUUAGCUAGUUGGUGAGGUAACGGCUCACCAAGGCAACGAUGCGUAGCCGACCUGAGAGGGUGAUCGGCCACACUGGGACUGAGACACGGCCCAGACUCCUACGGGAGGCAGCAGUAGGGAAUCUUCCGCAAUGGACGAAAGUCUGACGGAGCAACGCCGCGUGAGUGAUGAAGGUUUUCGGAUCGUAAAACUCUGUUGUUAGGGAAGAACAAGUACCGUUCGAAUAGGGCGGUACCUUGACGGUACCUAACCAGAAAGCCACGGCUAACUACGUGCCAGCAGCCGCGGUAAUACGUAGGUGGCAAGCGUUGUCCGGAAUUAUUGGGCGUAAAGCGCGCGCAGGCGGUUUCUUAAGUCUGAUGUGAAAGCCCCCGGCUCAACCGGGGAGGGUCAUUGGAAACUGGGGAACUUGAGUGCAGAAGAGGGAGAGU
rnacentral:rRNA from 1 species